rnacentral:rRNA from 1 species
UCGAGAAUUUUUCUCAAUGGGCGAAAGCCUGAAGGAGCGACGCCGCGUGGGGGAUGAAGGGUUUCGAUCCGUAAACCCCUGUCAUUUGCGAACAAACCUUAUUAUUGAACAGAUAAUGAGCUGAUUGUAGCGAAAGAGGAAGGGACGGCUAACUCUGUGCCAGCAGCCGCGGUAAUACAGAGGUCCCGAGCGUUGUUCGGAUUCACUGGGCGUAAAGGGUGCGUAGGUGGCGGGGUAAGUUUGAUGUGAAAUCUCCGGGCUUAACCCGGAAAAGGCAUUGAAUACUAUUCUGCUUGGAGGGUUGGAGGGGGGACUGGAAUUCUCGGUGUAGCAGUGAAAUGCGUAGAUAUCGAGAGGAACACCAGUGGCGAAGGCGAGUCCCUGGACAACACCUGACACUGAGGCACGAAAGCUAGGGGAGCAAACAGGAUUAGAUACCCCCGUAGUCC